rnacentral:rRNA from 1 species
GAUGAACGCUAGCUACAGGCUUAACACAUGCAAGUCGAGGGACCGGCGCACGGGUGAGUAACACGUAUCCAACCUGCCCUUUACUCGGGGAUAGCCUUUCGAAAGAAAGAUUAAUACCCGAUAUAAAGGAUGGGGAUGCGUUCCAUUAGGUUGUUGGUGAGGUAACGGCGCACCAAGCCUUCGAUGGAUAGGGGUUCUGAGAGGAAGGGCCCCCACAUUGGAACUGAGACACGGUCCAAACUCCUACGGAAAGCAGCAGUGAUGAAUAUUGGUAAAUGGGCUGUGGACUGAACCGGCAAAUUAGCGUGAAGGAUGAAGGCGUAUGUGUCGUAAACUUCUUUAUAAAAUAAUAUGUAUUAUAUGAAGAAGGAUCGGCUAACUCCGUGCCAGCAGCCGCGGUAAUAC